GUGCAGGGCCCGCCUAUAGUAAAUGGC
rnacentral:sRNA from 1 species